UUCUCACUUCUCUCAUUCUUUAGCUCUCUAUAAAAGUAAAAUUUAGUGUUUUACUUUCAACAAGUUAGGUUAUAAUUUUUUUUUAAUUCCUCUUUGAAAUAUAUAUAUAUAUAUAUAUAUAGAUCCAAAUCUCUUGUGGGUUUUUAACUUGAUGUUUUAUGAUAGGUUUUAGGACAAGAUUAGGGUUUUUGUACAUGUUGACUUGAUAUAUUUUGUGUUAUUAUUAGUUGUUAUGGGAGUGGAGCUCCUUGAAGUCCAACAGAAGAUCUAACAGGCUUCUGAAGAAAUGUUGGAUUUGGAUUUGAAGUCUUUCAGCGCAGCUUUAUCGUUUGUCUAGAUUUGAGUUGUGGAAGAAAAUAUUUUAGAAACUGAAUUUUUACAGUUGUGUAAAUUGGGAAAUACUUGUUUGUUUUUACUUUGUGUACAUAUUAGUUUUUUUGAAUAAAAUAAAGUGAAAUCCUUAAUAUUUUAAUCUUUCAUUAGGUUUAGUCUAGGCUAUUGAUAGCUACUUUCUCGAUUCUUGAUCUUUGUGCAAAUUAAAGCUAUGUUGCAUUAAUUAAUAUUGGGACAGAUGUGUGGAAAAUGCAGUGUAGGUUCUUUAUUUUGAA